GGGACGACGAUGAUGAUGGAGUUGAUUGACAGAGACCUUCUUCUUCUUCAAAUUCCUGCUGGAAUUAGCUGCAAUUCCAUCUUCAGAUAUGGAUGAAAGUGACGGUUUCCAUUCAGGCAAUGAACCAGCAGAUCUCGCUAACGACGAUGCGCGCGAUUUGAUGAACAGCCACAACAUGCUACUAAUUCAAUGAAAAACUUCAUAUUUACCAGGUAUGCACGAAAUAUGUUUGAUGAAAUGUGUGUGAUAGAUUGCCUGAAAGGUGUUUGAUAAAAUGUGUACGAUAGAUUGCUUGAAAGGUGUUUGAUAAAAUGUGUAAGAUGGAUUGCUGGAAAGGUGUUUGAUAAAAUGCGUAUGAUAGAUUGCCGGAAAGAUGUAUGAUAGAUAACCGGAAAGGUGUUUGAUAAAAUGCGUAAGUAAGAUUACGCUUGUGAAGUGUUUGAUAAAAUGUGUGUGAUAUAUUGCACUUUGCAAGAAAGGUGUUUGAUAAAAUGCGUAUGAUAGGUCGUGUAAAAGGUGUUUGAUAAAUUGUCUAGGAUAGAUUAUGCUAUAGGUGUUUGAUAAAAUGUGUAUGAUAGAUAGCACAAAAGGUGUUUGAUAAAAUGGAUAAUAGUAGUAAUUUUU